UACGGAGGGUGCAAGCGUUAUCCGGAUUCACUGGGUUUAAAGGGUGCGUAGGAGGGCAGGUAAGUCAGUGGUGAAAUCCCCCGAGCUUAACUUGGGAACUGCCGUUGAUACUAUCUGUCUUGAAUACCGUGGAGGUGAGCGGAAUAUGUCAUGUAGCGGUGAAAUGCUUAGAUAUGACAUAGAACACCAAUUGCGAAGGCAGCUCGCUACACGAAUAUUGACUCUGAGGCACGAAAGCGUGGGAUCAAACAGG
rnacentral:rRNA from 1 species